UUCCGGUUGAUCCCGCCGGACCCGACUGCUAUCAGAGUGGGACUAAGCCAUGCGAGUCGACGUAGCAAUGCGUGGCGAACGGCUCAGUAACACGUAGUCAACAUGCCCAGGGGACGUGGAUAACCUCGGGAAACUGAGAAUAAACCACGAUAGGUCACGAUUUCUGGAAUGGAUCAUGGCAUAAAUCUACAUGGCCCCUGGAUUGGACUGCGGCCGAUCAGGCAGUUGGUGAGGUAAUGGCCCACCAAACCUAUAACCGGUACGGGCUCUGAGAGGAGAAGCCCGGAGAUGGGCACUGAGACAAGGGCCCAGGCCCUAUGGGGCGCAGCAGGCGCGAAACCUCUGCAAUAGGCGAAAGCCUGACAGGGUUACUCUGAGUGAUUUCCGCUAAGGGGAUCUUUUGGCACCUCUAAAAAUGGUGCAGAAUAAGGGGUGGGCAAGUCUGGUGUCAGCCGCCGCGGUAAUACCAGCACCCCGAGUGGUCGGGACGAUUAUUGGGCCUAAAGCAUCCGUAGCCGGUUCUGCAAGUCCCCCGUUAAAUCCAGCUGCUCAACAGAUGGGCCGCGGAGGAUACUACAGAGCUAGGAGGCAGGAGAGGCAAGCGGUACUCAAUGGGUAGGGGUAAAAUCCGUUGAUCCAUUGAAGACCACCAGUGGCGAAGGCGGCUUGCCAGAAUGCGCUCGACGGUGAGGGAUGAAAGCUGGGGGAGCAAACCGGAUUAGAUACCCGGGUAGUCCCAG
rnacentral:rRNA from 1 species